AGCAUCCUCAUCAAUACGCUCAGAUUCACGAUACAGAGGAUGACUGCAGCAAGUGUUUGUCCAUACAAGGGGGAAUGUUACCUUUGUAGCAGAGCGUUGCUGAAGGAGCAGCUCAUAUUUUGAGUUAAAGANNNNNNNNNAAUACGCUAAAAGCUCGGUGUAAUGAGUUCCCCUUCAAAAUAUUUUCCCAUAAAUGACAACUAUAUUUGGAAGCAUGACCAACAGCACGAUCGUUCUCAUCUACUAAAAUGCAUUCAU
rnacentral:misc_RNA from 1 species